GACGAACGCUGGCGGCGUGCCUAAUACAUGCAAGUAGAACGCUGAAGAGAGGAGCUUGCUCUUCUUGGAUGAGUUGCGAACGGGUGAGUACGCGUAGGUAACCUGCCUUGUAGCGGGGGAUAACUAUUGGAAACGAUAGCUAAUACCGCAUAACAAUAGGUGACACAUGUCAUUUAUUUGAAAGGGGCAAUUGCUCCACUACAAGAUGGACCUGCGUUGUAUUAGCUAGUAGGUGAGGUAACGGCUCACCUAGGCGACGAUACAUAGCCGACCUGAGAGGGUGAUCGGCCACACUGGGACUGAGACACGGCCCAGACUCCUACGGGAGGCAGCAGUAGGGAAUCUUCGGCAAUGGGGGCAACCCUGACCGAGCAACGCCGCGUGAGUGAAGAAGGUUUUCGGAUCGUAAAGCUCUGUUGUAAGUCAAGAACGAGUGUGAGAGUGGAAAGUUCACACUGUGACGGUAGCUUACCAGAAAGGGACGGCUAACUACGUG
rnacentral:rRNA from 1 species